rnacentral:misc_RNA from 1 species
GGAAGUAAAAGUCGUAAUAAGGUUUCCGUAGGUGAACCAGCGGAGGGAUCAUUACCGAGUGCAAACUCAUAACCCUUUGUGAACCUAUAUCUGUUGCUUCGGCGGCUCGCUCUCGGGCGAGCCCGCCGGUAAUAUCAGUAUCUCUGUUUGAACCCGACGAUACUUCUGAGUGUUCUUAGCGAACAGUUAAAACUUUUAACAACGGAUCUCUUGGCUCUA